UACGAAGGGGGCUAGCGUUGCUCGGAAUCACUGGGCGUAAAGCGCACGUAGGCGGCCUCUUAAGUCGGUGGUGAAAUCCUGGAGCUCAACUCCAGAACUGCCUUCGAUACUGGGAGUCUCGAGUCCGGGAGAGGUGAGUGGAACUGCGAGUGUAGAGGUGAAAUUCGUAGAUAUUCGGAGGAACACCAGUGGCGAAGGCGGCUCACUGGUCCGGUACUGACGCUGAGGUGCGAAAGCGUGGGGAGCAAACAGG
rnacentral:rRNA from 1 species